AGCUAGUUGGUGUGGUAAUGGCGCACCAAGGCUUCGAUCAGUAGCUGGUCUGAGAGGAUGAUCAGCUACACUGGGACUGAGACACGGCCCAGACUCCUACGGGAGGCAGCAGUGGGGAAUUUUCCGCAAUGGGCGAAAGCCUGACGGAGCAACGCCGCGUGAGGGAUGAAGGCCUCUGGGCUGUAAACCUCUUUUCUCAAGGAAGAAGAACUGACGGUACUUGAGGAAUAAGCCACGGCUAAUUCCGUGCCAGCAGCCGCGGUAAUACGGGAGUGGCAAGCGUUAUCCGGAAUUAUUGGGCGUAAAGCGUCCGCAGGCGGCCUUGUAAGUCUGCUGUCAAAGCGUGGAGCUUAACUCCAUUUCGGCAGUGGAAACUACAAGGCUUGAGUGUGGUAGGGGCAGAGGGAAUUCCCGGUGUAGCGGUGAAAUGCGUAGAUAUCGGGAAGAACACCAGUGGCGAAGGCGCUCUGCUGGGCCAUAACUGACGCUCAUGGACGAAAGCCAGGGGAGCGAAAGGGAUUAGAUACCCCUGUAGUCCUGGCCGUAAACGAUAAGCACUAGGUGUCGGGGGAAUCGACCCCCUCGGUGUCGUAGCCAACGCGUUAAGUGUUCCGCCUGGGGAGUACGCACGCAAGUGUGAAACUCAAAGGAAUUGACGGGGGCCCGCACAAGCGGUGGAGUAUGUGGUUUAAUUCGAUGCAACGCGAAGAACCUUACCAGGGUUUGACAUCCUGCGAACCCCUUGGAAACGAGGGGGUGCCUUCGGGAACGCAGUGACAGGUGGUGCAUGGCUGUCGUCAGCUCGUGUCGUGAGAUGUUGGGUUAAGUCCCGCAACGAGCGCAACCCACGUCGUUAGUUGCCAGCAUUAAGUUGGGCACUCUAGCGAGACCGCCGGUGAUAAACCGGAGGAAGGUGUGGAUGACGUCAAGUCAUCAUGCCCCUUACAUCCUGGGCUACACACGUACUACAAUGCUACGGACAAAGGGCAGCAAGCUCGCGAGAGUUAGCAAAUCCCAUAAACCGUGGCUCAGUUCAGAUCGUAGGCUGCAACUCGCCUACGUGAAGGAGGAAUCGCUAGUAAUCGCAGGUCAGCAUACUGCGGUGAAUACGUUCCCGGGCCUUGUACACACCGCCCGUCACACCAUGGAAGUUGGCCACGCCCGAAGUCGUUACUCCAACCCUUGUGGAGGAGGAUGCCGAAGGUGGGGCUGAUGACUGGGGUGAAGUCGUAACAAGGUAGCCGUACCGGAAGGUGCGGCUG
rnacentral:rRNA from 1 species